AGAACGAACGCUGGCGGCAUGCCUAAUACAUGCAAGUCGAACGAAGGCUUCGGCCUUAGUGGCGCACGGGUGCGUAACGCGUGGGAAUCUGCCCCUUGGUUCGGAAUAACAGUUGGAAACGACUGCUAAUACCGGAUGAUGACGAAAGUCCAAAGAUUUAUCGCCAAGGGAUGAGCCCGCGUAGGAUUAGCUAGUUGGUGAGGUAAAGCUCACCAAGGCGACGAUCCUUAGCUGGUCUGAGAGGAUGAUCAGCCACACUGGGACUGAGACACGCCCAGACCUCCGUACGGGAGCAGCAGUAGGAAUAGUGGACAGUGGGACGAAAGCCUGACUCCGAGUACGAAUCGACCCG
rnacentral:rRNA from 1 species